CGUCGAGCAGGGAGUACUCGCGCACGCUCAGGUCGUGCCCCGACUGCAGAGCGCGUUCGAUGUGCGCCUCGAUCC
rnacentral:tRNA from 1 species